UUACUUCUCAUGUGAUGUAGGCUUCCCUCUUGUCUCCUUGUCCAGACUGCUCACCAGAAGCUCAGCCCAAAUACGUUAGAGGCGGGAAGCGUUAUGGACGGAGAUCCCUGCCCGAGUUUCAAGAGUCUGGGGAAGAGUUUGCAGAGGUGACAGUGCUUGAGCCACUGGAGGAAGAAGCCAGGCCAUCACACAUCCCAGCUGGUGACUGCAGUGAGCACUGGAAGACACAACGCAGUGAGGAGUAUGAAGCGGAAGGCCAGCUGAGGUUUUGGAAUCCAGACGACCUGAAUGCUUCACAUGGUGGGUCUUGCCCUCCUCCAGACUGGAUAGAAGAGAAGCUGCAAGAGGUUUGUGAGGAUCUGGGGAUCACUCGAGAUGGUCACCUGAACCGGAAGAAGCUGGUUUCCAUCUGCGAACAGUAUGGAUUGCAGAAUGUGGAUGGAGCGAUGCUGGAAGAGGUGUUUCUCAGCCUCGACCCUGAUGGUACAAUGAGUGUGGAAGACUUUUUCUAUGGUCUGUUUAAGACUGGGAAAUCCCUUACACCAUCAGCAUCUACUCCCUAUAGACAACUAAAACGGCAUCUGUCUAUGCAGGUAAGAGAUCAGCGUUCAGAGCCGGGUGUGGUGGCACACACCCAUGACCUCCAGCACAGUGGGCAGAGGGGAGAACAGAA
rnacentral:lncRNA from 1 species